rnacentral:lncRNA from 1 species
AAAGGGAAACUUCAAAUACCCCAUGUAGUUUCGUACUUUUUCACUUUAGUAUCCUGUAGUUAAAGUGUAUCAAGUUAGUACCCUGUGGUUUCGUACUUUCUUACUUUACUACCCUGUGGUUUAAAGUGUAUCAAGUUAGUAUCCUGUGAUUUCGCACUUUCUCAUUUUAGUACCCUGUGGCUUAAUAUUUUAUUAAAUUAUAUACAAAAAACUUCAGAUACCUUAUUUAGGUUUAUCGAAUAUUUAUUUUAGUAUCCUUUAGUUUUAACUUUGUCACUGAUUUAAUAAAAAAAUAUUCCAAAAUAGAUAAUAAAAAGAAAAAAAAAUAAAAUUAUAAAGUACUAACUUGAUACAAAAAUAAAACAAUAAAAUACUAACUUGAUAAAUUUUAAAUAAUAUGAUAUUAAAGUGAGAAAGUACGAAAUUGCAGAGUACAGACUUUCACCCUCGCUAUAAUUUUA